ensembl:lncRNA
GAGAGACAGAGAGAGAGAGAGAGAGAGAGAGAGAGGGGGGAGAGAGAGACAGAGAGAGAGAGGUUAUAGAAGUGAAUCUCAUUCUGGUUCAGUGAGAGAUACAGGCAGGCUUCUCUCUCACACAAACAGCAACUGCCACCAGUUGGUCUCUCUAUAGCCUACAAUGUUGCAUAGAACAUAAACCCGCAAAUCAUAAACCCGCAAAACAUAAACCCGCAAAACAUAAACCCGCAAAACAUAAACCCGGGCUGGCCCAAUUCCAAUCAACUCUCAGAACAUCAGGCACUAUGUGUUUAAUUAAAGGGGACAGUUGAAUUACAGAUGAGGUAACUGAAAUGAUCUCGGAUCGCUUUCAUUUCAAUGUUUACAUUUCAAACAAUAAAAAGUAUGAAUGAAAUGAAUGUUCCAGAAUGAAACAGUCCCAAACUGAGAGGUGUCGAAUCCUGUUCACUGAGGUAAACAUAUCUGACUGAGAGGACAACACUGAGGUAAACAUAUCUGACUGAGAGGACAACACUGAGGUAAACAUAUCUGACUGAGAGGACAACACUGAGGUAAAUAUAUCUGACUGAGAGGACAACACUGAGGUAAAUAUAUCUGAGAGGACACAAUCAGAAAGAUGUGUGUGUUUUGCUUUUCUCUAUCAGAGAACUCAGAGACAGAAGAGAAGGCUUUUUCCAUGGCGCCGGCCCAUUCCACUGUGGCCCUGGUAGAGACGGGGUGUGAGGGGAAGACGACCCGUGGAAUUUACCAGAACUACAGGACGGAGCGGCAGCAUGGUCAG